rnacentral:ncRNA from 1 species
AUAAUGAUACUUCCGUCCAGUCACAGUCUAAAGCAAUGAGGGCGGCUCGUGAGAACCACAGAGAGGUGCAAGUCCUAUGA